AGAGGGUGCGAGCGUUAAUCGGAAUUACUGGGCGUAAAGGGCGCGUAGGUUGUUUACUAAGUUAGAUGUGAAAUGUCUGGGCUUAACCUGGAUUAGUCAUCUGAUACUGGUAGACUAGAGUACAGUAGAGGAUAGUGGAAUUUCCGGUGUAGCGGUGAAAUGCGUAGAUAUCGGAAGGAACACCAGUGGCGAAGGCGACUAUCUGGACUGCUACUGACACUGAGGCGCGAAAGCGUGGGGAGCAAACAGGAUUAGAUACCCUGGUAGUCCACGCUGUAAACGAUGACAACUAGCCCGUUGGAUCUUUUAAACAGAUUUAGUGGCGCAGCAAACGCGAUAAGUUGUCCGCCUGGGAGUACGGCGCAAGGUUA
rnacentral:rRNA from 1 species